rnacentral:rRNA from 1 species
AACGUAGGAGACAAACGUUAUCCGGAGUUACUGGGCGUAAAGGGCGUGUAGGUGGUAAUGUAAGUCUGGCGUGAAAUUUUUCGGCUUAACCGGGAAAGGUCGUCGGAUACUGCAUGACUAGAGUGUGGUAGGGGAGACUGGAAUUCCUGGUGUAGCGGUGAAAUGCGCAGAUAUCAGGAGGAACACCGAUGGCGAAGGCAGGUCUCUGGGCCACUACUGACGCUGAGAAGCGAAAGCAUGGGGAGCAAACAGG